rnacentral:ncRNA from 2 species
AAAGGAGCAAUAGGCAGAACUUAUAUAUGUUCAAGAUUGGUUGGACGUUUCUACAAACUACCGGAAUAGUUGACUAUAAGUGGGGAGAUGCAAGGA